rnacentral:rRNA from 1 species
AUACGGAGGACGCGAGCGUUAUCCGGAUUCAUUGGGUUUAAAGGGUGCGCAGGCGGCCGUGCAAGUCAGCGGUGAAAGCCCGGGGCUCAACCCCGGAAGUGCCGUUGAUACUGCAUGGCUGGAAUGCGGUCGAGGCGGGGGGCACCGGGCGGGGCGCGGGGGAAUGCGUAGAUAUGCCACAGAACGCCGAUAGCGGAGGCAGCUCGCCAGGCCUGCAUUGACGCUCGGGCACGAAAGCGUGGGGAUCGAACAGGAUUAGAUACCCUGGUAGUCCACGCCGUAAACGAUGGGCGCUCGUCGUCGGCGGCAGACAGUCGGCGGCCAAGCGAAAGCGAUAAGCGCCCCACCUGGGGAGUACGGUCGCAAGGCUGAAACUCAAAUGAAUUGACGGGG